UACGUAGGGUGCGAGCGUUGUCCGGAAUUAUUGGGCGUAAAGAGCUUGUAGGCGGUCUGUCGCGUCUGCUGUGAAAAUCCGGGGCUCAACCCCGGACUUGCGGUGGGUACGGGCAGACUAGAGUGUGGUAGGGGAGACUGGAAUUCCUGGUGUAGCGGUGAAAUGCGCAGAUAUCAGGAGGAACACCGAUGGCGAAGGCAGGUCUCUGGGCCACUACUGACGCUGAGAAGCGAAAGCAUGGGGAGCGAACAGG
rnacentral:rRNA from 1 species